CUGCCUGUAGUCUAGUGGUUAAGGUACAUGACUGGGACCCCUGAGGUUGGUGGCUCAAACCCCAGUCCAGCCACA
rnacentral:tRNA from 1 species